CGCUGGGACAGUUUGUGGCCCAAACAACAGAACCGUCUCCUGGUCAACGGAGCUCUGCCUUCAACAAUAAAUACUGGAAUAAUCCAAACGGCCUACUUAAAUAUGGACACUGAUGAUGCAACAAAAAGUCUUCAUUUACAACAAAGGUACUUUGGGGCUGACAGACAGCCAUUGUGAAGGACACAAUCUGGCAAAAAUUUACCUGCAGAAGUGAAUGGGAGGAUAUGGGUAAGUGGUUUUGUAAGUUUUGUUGUAAAUCUUAAUAAAAUGUCC